rnacentral:rRNA from 1 species
GUACACUCCUGCGGGAGGCAGCAGUGGGGAAUUUUGGACAAUGGGCGAAAGCCUGAUCCAGCCAUGCCGCGUGCAGGAUGAAGGCCUUCGGGUUGUAAACUGCUUUUGUACGGAACGAAACGGCCUUUUCUAAUAAAGAGGGCUAAUGACGGUACCGUAAGAAUAAGCACCGGCUAACUACGUGCCAGCAGCCGCGGUAAUAAGUAGGGUGCAAGCGUUAAUCGGAAUUACUGGGCGUAAAGCGUGCGCAGGCGGUUAUGUAAGACAGUUGUGAAAUCCCCGGGCUCAACCUGGGAACUGCAUCUGUGACUGCAUAGCUAGAGUACGGUAGAGGGGGAUGGAAUUCCGCGUGUAGCAGUGAAAUGCGUAGAUAUGCGGAGGAACACCGAUGGCGAAGGCAAUCCCCUGGACCUGUACUGACGCUCAUGCACGAAAGCGUGGGGAGCAAACAGGAUUAGAUACCCUUGUAGUCCCAUG